rnacentral:rRNA from 1 species
UCGGGACAGAGGAGACAGGUGGUGCAUGGUUGUCGUCAGCUCGUGUCGUGAGAUGUUGGGUUAAGUCCCGCAACGAGCGCAACCCUUGACUUUAGUUGCCAGCAUGUAAUGGUGGGCACUCUAGAGUGACUGCCGGUGACAAACCGGAGGAAGGUGGGGAUGACGUCAAAUCAUCAUGCCCCUUAUGACCUGGGCUACACACGUACUACAAUGGCCGGUACAACGGGAGGCGAAGGAGCGAUCUGGAGCGAAUCCUAGAAAAGCCGGUCUCAGUUCGGAUUGCAGGCUGCAACUCGCCUGCAUGAAGUCGGAAUUGCUAGUAAUCGCGGAUCAGCAUGCCGCGGUGAAUACGUUCCCGGGUCUUGUACACACCGCCCGUCACACCACGAGAGUUUACAACACCCGAAGUCGGUGAGGUAACCGCAAGGGGCCAGCCGCCGAAGGUGGGGUAGAUGAUUGGGGUGAAGUCGUAACAAGGUAGCCGUAUCGGAAGGUGCGGCUGGAUCACCUC